rnacentral:rRNA from 1 species
GAUUCCCCUAGUAAUGGCGAAUGAAGAGGGAAAAGCUCAAAUUUUAAAUCUACCUGGUUCCCAGGUCGAGUUGUAAUUUGAAGAAGCGAUAUCGGUGUGGAGGUCUGGUUCAAGUUCUUUGGAACAAGACAUCAUGGAGGGUGAGAAUCCCGUGCAUGAUCAGACCAAGAUACUUAAUAUUCGCUUUCUAAGAGUCGAGUUGUUUGGGAAUGCAGCUCAAAUUGGGUGGUAGACUUCACCUAAGGCUAAAUAUCAGCGAGAGACCGAUAGCGAACAAGUACUGUGAAGGAAAGAUGAAAAGAACUUUGAAAAGAGAGUUAAAUAGUACGUGAAAUUGUUGAAAGGGAAACGAUUGAAGUCAGUCAUGCUAGUGAAAAUUCAGUUUGGUGGGUUUUGGGUUCAGGAGUUGAGGCAGGGUCAAACCGUUUCUCUUUUGAACUUGGAAUUUGUCAGAUGCACUUUUUCUUUGGCAGGUCAGCGUCGAUUUCGGAGGUUGUAAAAUACUUGGGGAAAAGUAGCUCUGCUUCGGGAGAGUGUUAUAGACCUUGGGUGAUGCGGCCUGCGGGAUCGAGGAUUGCAGCAAAUGCUUUUGGCUUGUCGCCUGAUCUCUGGACGUCAUCUCGUUUGUAUCAACAUUCUUGGUACCGGUGAGUAAUGGUGCUCAUAGGUUAGAGCGAUCAAAAAUUUGCUAAGGAUGCUGACGUAAUGGCUUUAAACGACCCGUCUUGAAACACGGACCAAGGAGUCUAACAUAUGUGCGAGUGUU